rnacentral:tRNA from 1 species
GGAGAGAUGGCUCAGUGGUCAAGAGCUCUGACUGCCCUUUCAGAGGACCUGGGUUUGAUUCCCAGCACCUACA